GACCAACCCCAUCACCUUUUCCCUGCCUUUGGCUCUGUCAGGAGCAGGAAAUCUCCUUAACAGGGGCACCUUUAAAGGCCACAGCCCGCCCAUGUGUGCUCUUUACGUGGAGCUUCCUACAAAGGCAAGAUUUACUUCCUACAAAACCAAGAUUUACUUCCCAUCUUCUCCUCCUGCUCGGGUCCUCCAGGGGACGACAGCUCCACAGCCGUGCUCUGCCUCCUGCUUAUGGAUUCUCUUUUGGUGCCUGGGAGAAAGGAUGGGCUGGCACAGGAGCCAGACCUGCCCAGGAGGAGCAGCCUUGGAAUGCCCAUCCCAGAAUUGCUGCCAGGCUCAGGGCUGUGGCACCUUGUCAGCAGGGUGAAGAGCCACCAGUGGGGCUGAGAUUUGUGCUGCUGGCACAGAGAUCCCAUCCUGGCAUUUUGCUGUUCCAGAAAUAAGCUUCAGCUUAGGAUUUAUCUGCUCUUGUUUAAUGCCUCAGGAAAGCAGCCAAGAAAGAGCCCUGAUGUGCUGUGGACUGGCCCAAGGGGAGCUGGUAGCUAAAGACAGCUAAAAGCCAGAGAAAUUCUGGCUCCUGAGCCCUGCCCUAUUUGUUUUGUGACAUUUGGAACCCAAAUCACUUGGAUUUUUCAGCUCACACAUGCUCCAGGGAUGUGCAUUGGCUCAAGAGACCACAAAGCAUUUCCACCUUGGAGUCGUGUGAAGUUUGGGCUGCACUGACCCACACCUGGAAUUUGGGGAUCUCUUCCAAAAGAAUUGCUCAGAAAACUCUCAGCACUGGGGAGAUUGUGGUGGGCAGAGAAAUCUGUCACUCAAGGAUUUCUGGUGUUUCCCCACCUCACUGGGCUUGGGCUCUGCUGUUUGCUGGGGACAGACAGGGCAAAGCUGAUUUUGGGAGGGCCUGAGCUGAUUUUUGGGGCUCCAGACUAAAGGGGAAAAGCCCAAACAAAGAUCUGCUGCUGUUCCUGGCUGUGCCAUCGUUGUUAUAAAUCACAUACCCAAAACUUUAUCCUGUACUGAACUCCCUCCUCCCAAUGGGCCUGUUUAAAAAUAACAUUUUGCUGCUCUGAUGCUGCUGCUGGCAAUGCAAAUUCAGAAUAUUUAGAGGAGAAAAGUGCCCUGCCUUAAUUUCUAACACUCAACCUUUGAACCUUCCACUUCUCCAUAUUUUAGGGGAUUUGUGAUGAAAGAAUCCAGCUUUUAUUUUUUAAAUCCAGCAUAUUUUUUUUCUGAUUGUGACUCCCUAUCACAACUUGACUUAAACUUUCCCCAAGUCCUGCUCGUUACCAUAAUUUGGUGGAUUUCUUCUGUGUCUCAGCACUACCCCUGAUUAUUAAUGGGAUCACAACAACAACAAAAAAAUCCCCCUCCCUUUGCCAAUAAGGCAGGUGAGUUUGGGGGUGCAAAGUAGGUCAUAAAACAUCCUGACUGUGGUAAAAACUGAAUUAAAAUUACCUGGGCCAUCCUCUGCUUUUGUGCUCUUCCAUCAGGUGUAACAAAAUUCCAGCACUUGCACAGACUUGCUGCAAGUCCUUUAUCUUUAAUCUGUUUUCUUUCUGCUGAUUAGAGCUUUCCUAAUAUUGGGGGUGUUAAUUGAUGCAGAUUUAUGCAGCCUGGCAGAAUUUAUGUGAGUGCACAUCAGGAAUAAGAGGGGAAAUUGUCAGAGAUGUCCAGAGAGAGGGAAGCAUUUGGAGGGGCUCUGCAUCCAAGCUGAAUUCCAUAAUUCUGGACAUGAGCAACCAUCUUAACCUCAACAGGGAGAAAAAUCAGGGAAACCUUAAAUUGUGAUCAUUCCAAGAGGUUUUUGCUGCUCUAAUUCCACAGCAAGGGGAGAGGCAGCUCCUCCUGGGAGCUCAGCACACCCCAAAAUCCCAAAUUCCCACAGGAUUUGGGGAUGGUUGUCCCAGCAGUAACAGGGCCUGCAGAGCCUUUCCUGAUCCCAAACUUUGAUUUCUCCAUGGAAACUCACUCUGUGUCCUCAGCAGCUCGUGGAUUUUUUUCUCCUUUGGGAAAAAUAAGGAUUCACAUCUUGUUUGUCACUGUUGUCUCGUUCCUGCCGCUGACCCGGGGAUAAGGAUCUGGCACAGAACAUUUUAUCAGCUGUAGGAAAUGUUCUUUCUUUAUUAAUUCCAUCUGGGAUCAAUAAUUAAUGCUGCUGUCUCCUUUGCAAUCCCCCUCAGUGGGAGAGGAGGUCGGGAUUUCACUGCUUUGUGUUCCUUGAAGCCCUCAAAAUCCCAAAAUACACAAGGAUUCCUAUAUUAUGAAACUUUUUUUCUUUGUUUAGGAGUCAGCAAGAUCCAAAUUUAUGGGGACAAGGUGGAUAAUUGGGACUAGAAUUCCCAGCACAGAGAAAAGGCAGCAAAGAUUGAGCGAGGAUCAUCCCAUUCCUCCCUGGUCAGGGAGAAUAAUAAUUCAGAGGGACUUUCGGGGCAGAAAGUGAACUUUAAAUUGGUAGGA